rnacentral:rRNA from 1 species
GACGAACGCUGGCGGCGUGCUUAACACAUGCGAGUCGAACGGAAAGGCCCUGCUUUUGUGGGGUGCUCGAGUGGCGAACGGGUGAGUAACACGUGAGUAACCUGCCCCUGACUUUGGGAUAACUUCAGGAAACUGGGGCUAAUACCGGAUAGGAGCUCCUGCUGCAUGGUGGGGGUUGGAAAGUUUCGGCGGUUGGGGAUGGACUCGCGGCUUAUCAGCUUGUUGGUGGGGUAGUGGCUUACCAAGGCUUUGACGGGUAGCCGGCCUGAGAGGGUGACCGGCCACAUUGGGACUGAGAUACGGCCCAGACCCCUACGGGAGGCAGCAGUGGGGAAUAUUGCACAAUGGGCGGAAGCCUGAUGCAGCAACGCCGCGUGCGGGAUGACGGCCUUCGGGUUGUAAACCGCUUUCGCCUGUGACGAAGCGUGAGUGACGGUAAUGGGUAAAGAAGCACCGGCUAACUACGUG